UACGUAGGGUGCAAGCGUUGUCCGGAAUUAUUGGGCGUAAAGAGCUCGUAGGCGGCUCGUCACGUCGGCUGUGAAAACCCGGGGCUCAACCCCGGGCCUGCAGUCGAUACGGGCGAGCUAGAGUUCGGCAGGGGAGACUGGAAUUCCUGGUGUAGCGGUGAAAUGCGCAGAUAUCAGGAGGAACACCGGUGGCGAAGGCGGGUCUCUGGGCCGACACUGACGCUGGGGAGCGAAAGCGUGGGGAGCGAACAGG
rnacentral:rRNA from 1 species